rnacentral:rRNA from 1 species
GACGAACGCUGGCGGCGUGCCUAAUACAUGCAAGUCGAGCGAGCGGAACUAACAGAUUUACUUCGGUAAUGACGUUAGGAAAGCGAGCGGCGGAUGGGUGAGUAACACGUGGGGAACCUGCCCCAUAGUCUGGGAUACCACUUGGAAACAGGUGCUAAUACCGGAUAAGAAAGCAGAUCGCAUGAUCAGCUUUUAAAAGGCGGCGUAAGCUGUCGCUAUGGGAUGGCCCCGCGGUGCAUUAGCUAGUUGGUAAGGUAAAGGCUUACCAAGGCGAUGAUGCAUAGCCGAGUUGAGAGACUGAUCGGCCACAUUGGGACUGAGACACGGCCCAAACUCCUACGGGAGGCAGCAGUAGGGAAUCUUCCACAAUGGACGCAAGUCUGAUGGAGCAACGCCGCGUGAGUGAAGAAGGUUUUCGGAUCGUAAAGCUCUGUUGUUGGUGAAGAAGGAUAGAGGUAGUAACUGGCCUUUAUUUGACGGUAAUCAACCAGAAAGUCACGGCUAACUACGUGCCAGCAGCCGCGGUAAUACGUAGGUGGCAAGCGUUGUCCGGAUUUAUUGGGCGUAAAGCGAGCGCAGGCGGAAGAAUAAGUCUGAUGUGAAAGCCCUCGGCUUAACCGAGGAACUGCAUCGGAAACUGUUUUUCUUGAGUGCAGAAGAGGAGAGUGGAACUCCAUGUGUAGCGGUGGAAUGCGUAGAUAUAUGGAAGAACACCAGUGGCGAAGGCGGCUCUCUGGUCUGCAACUGACGCUGAGGCUCGAAAGCAUGGGUAGCGAACAGGAUUAGAUACCCUGGUAGUCCAUGCCGUAAACGAUGAGUGCUAAGUGUUGGGAGGUUCCCGCCUCUCAGUGCUGCAGCUAACGCAUUAAGCACUCCGCCUGGGGAGUACGACCGCAAGGUUGAAACUCAAAGGAAUUGACGGGGGCCCGCACAAGCGGUGGAGCAUGUGGUUUAAUUCGAAGCAACGCGAAGAACCUUACCAGGUCUUGACAUCUAGUGUCAUUUGUAGAGAUACAAAGUUCCCUUCGGGGGCGCUAAGACAGGUGGUGCAUGGCUGUCGUCAGCUCGUGUCGUGAGAUGUUGGGUUAAGUCCCGCAACGAGCGCAACCCUUGUUAUUAGUUGCCAGCAUUAAGUUGGGCACUCUAAUGAGACUGCCGGUGACAAACCGGAGGAAGGUGGGGAUGACGUCAAGUCAUCAUGCCCCUUAUGACCUGGGCUACACACGUGCUACAAUGGGCAGUACAACGAGAAGCGAGCCUGCGAAGGCAAGCGAAUCUCUGAAAGCUGUUUUCAGUUCGGACUGCAGUCUGCAACUCGACUGCACGAAGCUGGAAUCGCUAGUAAUCGCGGAUCAGCACGCCGCGGUGAAUACGUUCCCGGGCCU